rnacentral:rRNA from 1 species
GUGGGGAAUAUUGGACAAUGGGCGAAAGCCUGAUCCAGCAACGCCGCGUGAGGGAUGACGGCCUUCGGGUUGUAAACCUCUUUCAGCAGGGACGAAGCGAAAGUGACGGUACCUGCAGAAGAAGGACCGGCCAACUACGUGCCAGCAGCCGCGGUAAUACGUAGGGUCCGAGCGUUGUCCGGAAUUAUUGGGCGUAAAGGGCUCGUAGGCGGUCUGUCGCGUCGGGAGUGAAAACUCAGGGCUCAACCCUGAGCGUGCUUCCGAUACGGGCAGACUAGAGGUAUGCAGGGGAGAACGGAAUUCCUGGUGUAGCGGUGGAAUGCGCAGAUAUCAGGAGGAACACCGGUGGCGAAGGCGGUUCUCUGGGCAUUACCUGACGCUGAGGAGCGAAAGCAUGGGGAGCGAACAGGAUUAGAUACCCGAGUAGUCC